UUUAAAGAGUUUUCAUGUUUU
rnacentral:piRNA from 1 species